rnacentral:rRNA from 1 species
UGGGGAGUAUUGGGCAAUGGGCGAAAGCCUGACCCAGCGACGCCGCGUGGGUGAUGAAGGCCUUCGGGUUGUAAAGCCCUUUCGUGCGGAAAGAACAGUCCCGUGGUUAAUACCCGCGGGAUUUGACGGUACCGCAGGAAGAAGCACCGGCUAACUCCGUGCCAGCAGCCGCGGUAAUACGGAGGGUGCAAGCGUUGUUCGGAAUUACUGGGCGUAAAGGGCGCGUAGGCGGUAAUGUAAGUCAGAUGUGAAAUCCUUCGGCUUAACCGGAGAACUGCAUCUGAAACUGCAUAACUAGAGUACAGAAGAGGGAAACGGAGUUCCCGGUGUAGAGGUGAAAUUCGUAGAUAUCGGGAGGAACACCAGUGGCGAAGGCGGUUUCCUGGUCUGAUACUGACGCUGAGGCGCGAAAGCGUGGGGAGCAAACAG